rnacentral:misc_RNA from 1 species
UCUCCGUUGGUGAACCAGCGGAGGGAUCAUUACCGAGUUUACAACUCCCAAACCCAAUGUGAACCAUACCAAACUGUUGCCUCGGCGGGGUCACGCCCCGGGUGCGUCGCAGCCCCGGAACCAGGCGCCCGCCGGAGGGACCAACCAAACUCUUUCUGUAGUCCCCUCGCGGACGUUAUUUAUACAGCUCUGAGCAAAAAUUCAAAAUGAAUCAAAACUUUCAACAACGGAUCUCUUGGUUCUG